ACCCCCGGAGCUCACAUGGAAGAGCAGCGGCUUUCUAAGCCGAUGGCAGCGGGUUCGAUUCCCACCGGGGGUU
rnacentral:tRNA from 1 species